CCUACGGGAGGCAGCAGUGGGGAAUAUUGGACAAUGGGCGCAAGCCUGAUCCAGCAAUGCCGCGUGAGUGAUGAAGGCCUUAGGGUCGUAAAGCUCUUUUACCAGGGAUGAUAAUGACAGUACCUGGAGAAUAAGCUCCGGCUAACUCCGUGCCAGCAGCCGCGGUAAUACGGAGGGAGCUAGCGUUGUUCGGAAUUACUGGGCGUAAAGCGUACGUAGGCGGUUAUUCAAGUCAGAGGUGAAAGCCCGGGGCUCAACCCCGGAACGGCCUUUGAAACUAGGUAGCUAGAAUCUUGGAGAGGUCAGUGGAAUUCCGAGUGUAGAGGUGAAAUUCGUAGAUAUUCGGAAGAACACCAGUGGCGAAGGCGACUGACUGGACAAGUAUUGACGCUGAGGUACGAAAGCGUGGGGAGCAAACAGGAUUAGAUACCCUGGUAGUCCACGCCGUAAACGAUGAUAACUAGCUGUCCGGGCACUUGGUGCCUGGGUGGCGCAGCUAACGCAUUAAGUUAUCCGCCUGGGGAGUACGGUCGCAGAUUAAAACUCAAAGAUAGAGA
rnacentral:rRNA from 1 species